rnacentral:lncRNA from 1 species
UAAUUCUUUUACAAAUUAAAAUCUAUUUUUUUCUUUCUCUUUCUGUUCACUUCCUAUUUUUUCUAGCAAAAUAAAACUAGUGAGAGAGAGAGAGAGAGAGAGAGAGUGGGGAGGGCCAUUUCGUCUAGAACAAGGAAGGGAAGGGAGGAGGUUUUGAUCUUCCUUCUACCCAAAAUCAUCAUCCAUUUUGAAAGAUCAAGGAAGAAUAGCCACAAAUCAAAGGUAUAAACACCUUUUAUCAAAGUUAUUUUUAGUUAUUUAAAUCAAAACUUGAGUUUAUGUUUUUAAACUUAAAAACCUUAGAUCUACAUGUUAAUAAGUGUGUUAUGUAUAGAUCUAUCACUUUUGAGGAUCAAAAGUUGGAUCUAAAGCAAGAAAUUACAACUAGUUUUUCCAAAAAUUAGAAAACCCUAAUUUUUUUCUACUUUGUAAGCUUAUAACUUGAGAUCUAUAACUUCUUUUUGCGAUCCGUAAAAGAAGAGUGCUAGAUAUAUAAGUUAAAUAGUAAACUCAAGUGGCAACACUCAAAAUAUUGAUUUUACAAGUUAUGGUGUCUGUUUUGGCAAAAAUAGUCCAGAUUUUUUCAAAUGGGGAAAAAGAGAAAACAAAGUUUCUGGCCAGUCAUUGCCAGGGGUAGUUUUGUAAUUUUUUGUGCUUUAAAAAUUUUGGAAAACUUUGGAGAGAUAAUAUGAGACGUUAUGUGAGUCCUGUAAAUAUUUGAGAAUUUUUGGCCAUGUAGAAUGAGAGUUAUGACUGUUUUGGUAAAUGACUACUUUCAAACGUACACCCGAAUAACUCUAGGUGAUUAGCUCCAAAAAUUAUGAAAUAUUUACAGGAAGUACAUAUAUAUAACAGGAACCUAAAAUUUUGAAAUUGUCUAACAAAGUUUCGAUUUAUGAUAAAUAUAGCAAGAGUUGGCUGUUUUGGACUAUUUAAAUAUAGUAAAUGAAUUUCAAAAAUUCCAGGAAACAUAUAUGUUUAUAAGGGACCUAUAAUCUGUCGAAUCCCAGAAAAGAAAGAUUUUUGGAACUGAUUUGAUAUUUUUCAUGGAAAUGAUUUAGUUAUGAAUAAAUGAAUUAAAUAUGUUAUGUAAUGUUCAAAAUAUGAAAAAUAGGAUUUUAUGACUUGGAAACCCUAAAUAUGGUUUAUGAAAAUUUUUGAUGGGGGAUUUUGGUCAUUGGUGAUGAGAUCUUGUGUAUGGAAUUUUAAAAUGAAUAAAUGAAUUAAUUAGUAAAGUGUAAACAAUUAAAAUAAAUUGUUAAAUAAAUGAUUAAAAUAUUAUUAGAUGACUAAUAAUAUUAGACUAAGAUAUUAUUAAGUAAUUAAUAAUAUUUAGAUUAAAGUUAAAAUAAAAUAUUAUUAACUGAUUAAUAAUAUUAGUUAAGGAUUAAAAUAUUAUUAAAUAAUUAAUAAUAUUUGAUUAAAAUAUUAUUAAAGGGUUAUUAAUAUUUGUAAACGAUUAAGAUAUUAUUAUAUGAUUAAAAUAAUAUUAAUUGAUUAAUAAUACUAAGAAGUGAAUAAAAUAUUAUUAAGAUUAAUGAUAUGAAAUGAGUUUAAGAUGAUAGUAAUAUUAUCAAGGUGUGAUAACAUUACUAAGAACUUAAUGUAAGAUCUAAUAUUUAUUAUGUGGUUAAAUGUUAAAUAAUACGUUCUUAAAAUAGUAAUGUUAUGAGAUAAAGUAUAUUAUGUUAAUUGAAAAAUCAAUCUUAACAAUGGUAUGCCUUUUCAAUAAAGAGAUUAUAAUAGAUUGCGUAGCAGUAAUCGUUGGGCAAUGCAAGUUCCCUAACUCAAACAUGAGUUAUUAUAUUUUAAGCAUGCUAGUGGUUUAAUUAUUUAUAAUUAUUUCACAUCUUUGAUUAUUGAUUCGCACAUAGUGUAUGUUGCAUAUGUUCAUAAGGUAUGAAAGGCUGAUCACCUUCAUUACCAUAAGGUUCAGUUAAUAUUGUUCAUGGUCAUUGUUGACCACCCAACACUAUUGAUUUAGUCAUUCAAUCAUUAAAAUUGAUUCAUGCUCUUUCACAAUCAUUAUAUUGUUGAAAAUUUGACAUGUUAUUACUUUUCAACCAUGAUAUAUCUUCAUUGUACUUAAAUUUGCUGGACAAAGUAGUUGCUCACCCUUGCUAUAUUAUGAUAACAUUUUCAGAUUAAAGACGAAGGCUCGAAUAAAGACAGAGGCAAAGGAAAAUUUCAGAAUUAGAUUAUUAUGCAG